UGCUUGGUUUGUGUUAGUAAUAUUUAUAGCGGCAGGCUACACGCUAGUCCUUGCGGCGCGCACACUCGCUGGAGUAGAGGUUGUUGAUCUGGUUGGCGUCGGUCUGCCUCAUCUCGAACUUGUCGUAGGCCUCCACCAGCACCACGUUGGGGUCGGUGGGCACGAUGGUCUCCGCGACGCCCCAGU